CCUACGGGAGGCUGCAGUGGGGAAUAUUGGACAAUGGGCGAAAGCCUGAUCCAGCCAUGCCGCGUGUGUGAAGAAGGCCUUCGGGUUGUAAAGCACUUUCAGUGGGGAAGAAAGCCUUGGGGCUAAUACCCUCGAGGAAGGACAUCACCCACAGAAGAAGCACCGGCUAACUCCGUGCCAGCAGCCGUGGUAAUACGGAGGGUGCGAGCGUUAAUCGGAAUUACUGGGCGUAAAGCGCGCGUAGGCGGUCUGAUAAGCCGGUUGUGAAAGCCCCGGGCUCAACCUGGGAACGGCAUCCGGAACUGUCAGGCUAGAGUGCAGGAGAGGAAGGUAGAAUUCCCGGUGUAGCGGUGAAAUGCGUAGAGAUCGGGAGGAAUACCAGUGGCGAAGGCGGCCUUCUGGACUGACACUGACGCUGAGGUGCGAAAGCGUGGGUAGCAAACAGGAUUAGAUACCCCUGUAGUC
rnacentral:rRNA from 1 species